GAAGGAAUAUUGCCCAAUGGGGGAAACCCUGAGGCAGCAACGCCGCGUGAGCGAUGAAGGCCUUCGGGUCGUAAAGCUCUUUUCUGUGGGAAGAGGAAGGACGGUACCACAGGAACAAGUCUCGGCUAACUACGUGCCAGCAGCCGCGGUAAAACGUAGGAGGCAAGCGUUAUCCGGAUUCACUGGGCGUAAAGGGCAAGUAGGCGGUAGCUCAAGUUGGGCGUGACAUCCCCUGGCUUAACUGGGGGGGGUCGUUCAAAACUGGGUUACUGGAGGGCAGGAGAGGGAAGUGGAAUUCCUAGUGUAGCGGUGGAAUGCUCAGAUAUUAGGAAGAACACCAGUGGCGAAGGCGACUUCCUGGCCUGCACCUGACGCUGAGAGGCGAAAGCUAGGGGAGCGAACGGG
rnacentral:rRNA from 1 species